rnacentral:lncRNA from 1 species
UUUAAUCAUGCAGCCGGAUUGGGCAGACUUUGCUGCCAUCUCAUCUUAGCGAUCUUUGUUGUAUGAGUAUUGUCAACUUAUGCAGACUUUGCUCAGUGCUUCCGAUUUAGGCAGGCUUCACUUUGUGCUACCGCCUUAGGUACACUUGUGUUCGGUGUUGUUGGCUUACGCAUGCUUUGCUUGGUGUGGCCAACUUAGGCAGACUUUCACUUCAUGCUCCUGUCUUAGGUAAGCUUAUGCUCGGUGCU